UCGAGCCUGCGAGGUGAAUGGUGACGAAAGCGGAACUGAACCGCACCCGAACUUUUCUGGCUCUCGCAAACUGAUAACAUUGGCUCUUGUUAUGCUACUUAAAUCGCUCGUAGCGAGUGCCUGCACUCUAGUAGGAGCUGCCACAGCCUUCAAACUCGCUCCCGUCGAGGUCAAGGCCCGAGCAGCGGCUCUGCUGCACAGCACCGCGAGGAAAACAAAAGUUUUGGAGCAAGCCAACAUGAGGGUGGAACUUCUGCCGGCUCUCAGUGACAACUACAUGUACCUGCUCAUCGACACGGACACCAAAGAAGCAGCAAUAGUGGACCCCGUGGAGCCCGUGAAGGUUGUGGAAGCAGUCAGAAAACAUGGAGUCAAGCUCACAACAGUUCUGACCACCCACCACCACUGGGAUCACGCCGGCGGGAACGAGAAGAUGGUGAAACUCAUGCCCGGCCUGAAGGUCUACGGAGGAGACGAUCGCAUCGAUGCCAUCACAAAGAAAGUCUCUCACUCCAACAGUUUCAAAGUCGGCUCGCUAAACGUCAAAUGUCUGUUCACGCCGUGCCACACAACUGGCCACAUCUGCUACUACGUGACCAAAGACGACAGCUCUGAGCCUCCAGCGGUUUUUACAGGGGACACACUGUUUGUUGCCGGCUGCGGGAAAUUCUUUGAGGGCACCGCGGAGCAGAUGUACAAAGCCUUGAUUGAAAUUCUGGGACGCCUUCCUGCUGAAACGCGAGUCUACUGUGGUCAUGAGUACACGGUGAGCAACCUGAAGUUUGCACGCCACGUUGAGCCAGACAAUGAAGUCAUUCAGAAAAAGCUGGCAUGGGCAAAGGAGCAAUGCAGCAAUGGCGACCCAACAAUCCCAUCCACGUUGGCAGCUGAAUUCACCUUUAACCCAUUUAUGAGAGUCAAAGAGAAGACCGUGCAAGAUCACGUUAAGCAGACUGAUCCGAUCGAAGCCAUGAGGAGUCUCCGGAAAGAGAAGGACGCCUUCCGAGUGCCGAAGGAGUGACGAUGUACCGGUGUACUCGGAAGCGCUUCUAACACUGCAAUAUGUCCGCACUACAAAAAAAAGUUUGCAAGUCACGUGAAACAACAGGAUCGACUACGUUCGUUCUUCUUCAAUAUUUUGAGCCCCACUUAGGCUAGAAAGGAGCAGUCAAGUUGUGUUGGUGCGAUUGUUUUCAGGAAUAUAUGGCCAAAUAAUGACUAAUGGGUUGGGCUAACUUUCAAUGAGAACAAUAGUUUUAGAGUCUGUUAAGGUGUGUUUUGUAAAUAUGGAUGUUCAAAAACCAAUUCUGUUGAAACCAUGUUUUAUUUCCUAGCUGGAAUGUUUCCGCUUAUCAUUUAAUUCAAUCAUGGAUGGGAAAUUGUUCAGCUCUGAACAAUGUAUUCUUUACUCAUUAAGUGUGUCGAUAGUAAAUGUUAGAUGCGCUGAACGCUAGUUUUUGCACGAGAACAUAAAAUAUGCAUGCAAAAUACAAAUGAUACAUAUUGUAAAUUUGUAAUUAUUUCCCAAAGCAGUAACACCAAACCCAACCUUGCUAAUUUUGAAAUUAGCAUUUCGUUUAAUGUUCAUCUUAAUGCUGCUGAUUAUGUAUACUAAAUCUUUAUCUGCGAAGCUAAUUUAUAUUUACGUGUAAAUUGGGGCGGCGAAAGCGUUGAAUUUGGGGAACGCGCAGACGCUGCGUUAUCGAUGUUUCUGGCUCGAUGAAAACGUCUCGAUACUUGCUGCGACGUCACGUCUGUGGUCUCGCGAUAACUUGAACUGAGCGGAAAUGUAGUUUCCCACUGCUUCACAGCGGGACGCUGAUAGUUGUCAAUAAAAACAACAGCAGCGUUGACGAGUGCGCAUGCGUGUGAGGUGGCGAGGCCAUGAGGGUAAAGGUCAUCUCCAUCCUGGAGGACAACUACAUGUACUUGGUGAUUGAGGAGCAGACCAAACUGGCCUUAGCUGUGGACCCUGCAGUCCCUCACCGGCUUCUGGAAAUAGUGAAGUGAGAGAAGCUGACAUUGGUGGCGGUUUUCACCACACAUCAUCACUGGUAGAGUACACGUCUCCAUUGCAAAUAAAAGACCACAUGCAUAUAGGACCAGGUGUGAUGUCCCUCAAACACUUUGCUUAUAUUAAAACGCAAAUGAUAAUUACAUUAUUCAAUUUCCCUUCAGGGACUUCCACAGGAAUAAAAAAUAAUAAUAAAAAAUCUUCGCAGAUUAUGUGAAGGUUCCUUAAACAUGUAUGUUAACUCAGUCCUUAGAAAUAAAUGAACAUUUUCAAUGGCCAUCGUUUCCCAGUGCAGCUGCAUUUAUUGCACAUGCAGAAAGCGCCACUGGUCGAAGGUCCGGUCUUUUCUAAUGUAGAAUUGUACCCAAUUGACACCCAAUGGCUAAUGGUUAGCCAUGUAACAGCUAGCUGCUAACCUGAGCUCACAACAGCUAAGUGUACACCGUCAUUGGCUGAUUCCCACGUCACUCACCAGGCCAGGCCCCGCCUUUUAAAGCAACACACGCUCCAAGUCGCAGAUGUUAUAGUGUGGGGAAUGCGAGGAUGGUGACCCUGAGUGGACGAAAAAUAUUACCUCAACCUCAAAUGCACAUUUUGUGAACACAAAAUCAAUUCAUUGAUGAUCGGUAGAAUAAUGGCUUCUAAAAAUAUUCUCUGACUGCAGCCCUACUCACCACAGAUGUUGAUUCUUAAAUGUCAAAUCAACUUCAUUUGUUUUGUCCUUAAGCACAAAUGAGUCUCAAAGGGCUUCACGGGCCCACAGCUGACAAAGAUCGACGACGUCCCCCUUGACCUAAUCCCCGAACUCCAAAGCCCAUUUGGGGAGAAAAGAAUAAACCUUGAGAAGAGACCUCAGACGGGCGGGACCCCCGUUUCAGGAUGAGCAGGCUGCAACAGAUGUGGAGUGGGCAACAUUUAUAUCGUAGUGUGGUUAUCUGAAAGUCCAUUUCAAGAGGUUAGAUGAAGCGCCGUUGAAUCCAGUUUGUGUAUUCACAUUCAUUGAGGUGUGUCUUCGUUGUGGGUUUUGAGAACGAUACACCGGGCUCCUCAGGCGUCGCCUUGACUUCUGUGCCAUCAUCCGCUUGACUGGUUCAGGCCUUGUAACUUUGAGUCCUUGUGUAGAAGGUCUUCUGUGGACACGAGUACACCAUAAAGAACCUGAAGUUUGCGCUGCUGGUGGAACCGGACAACGAGAAGGUUAAAGAAAUGCUCGCUUGGGCCAGGGCGAGAGAGGAAGACGACAAACCCACAGUGCCGUCCACCCUGCGGGAGGAGUUUGACUACAACCCUUUUCUACGCCUCACGUACGCGUAACCGCUCACGCUGAUUUCGUUGCGUUCUCUGUACGCGCAGAGAGGAAAGGGUGCAGAAGUUCACGGGCAAGACGGACCCCGUGGAGGUGCUGAAGGUCCUGCGCAAGGAGAAGGACAAGUUCAAGAAGCCCAAGGAGAGCCUUCCUCCCCACGCCAUGUUGGCUUUGGAGUGGGGGUUGUUCGGACGCUGACCUCCGGCCGAAGGCUGCAAAAUGAUGAAGAGCGACGUCAUCUUUCAGUGUUCGCUGCUUCAAAAAGGCCAGUGGAAAACCACUAAUUCGCUUAUUUAAAAAAAAGAAAUAAAAAUGCGCAAAUGUAUCACUUAAUUGCGUAUAUAUGUUCCGAAUGUUGAAUUUUUUAGAGGUAAUUGAUUAUAAAAGACCAAUUGAGUUUGUUCUAUCAGUUGUUUAUUUUGUCAUAAUUAAUGCUUAGUUUGUGUUUACUGUGGAUAUAAAACAUCCACACACACCGUUCCGUUGUUUGAAUGCCAGGUUUUUGCAAUAUAAAAAAGGAAGACAAAUCAUUUUAAAAAUAACAACUGUAUGACCUGACAGUAGAAUAUUAUUAAAAUGAUGGUUUUAAAAUGAA